UCCGCUCGGCAGCCCGCGCUCUCGCCGUGUGGCAGGUGCCAGGUGCGCAAGUUAACCCGCGCCCCCGAGCGUGCGCCUCUGCCUCCGCGGCCCCGACACCCUGCUCGCUGGGUGCUCCGGAGGACGGUGCCGGGCAAAACACAGCCGCGCUGAGCAGCGCGAACGUGCAGAAGUCUGUGAGCGCGAAAGGAAAAUGUCAACCGGAGCCACAACUGCCCCACCGAGCCUCUAGUUAUAAAGAGCUUAUCUCCAAGGCGCCCCGAGCGCCGGCUAAUUCGCAUCCUCCAAUUCGCACAUCCCUGAGAGGUGCGAAAGGUCCGUUCCUUCUGCCCACUCCGAGGCGCGCAGACCUGCCGGGUCUCUCCCGCCGGGAAAACGCUUACGCAGUCCCAGCCCUCUUCCCCGCAUCCUCUCUUUAGUACCUGACCGAAAGAGCUCUCCAAGGACAUACCUCCCAGCUCCACUGAUUCCUGAAGAAUCAGACUCAGUCCUGGUCUGAGGUUUGGAACGCACUGCUCACCUCACAUUGAAGGUAGUUCCUGCUUCACGUAGAUGAAAACAAUUUAAAUUCAUUAAGGAUACUUUUGCCUGGACUCCUACUGGUCUCCGAACUCCACUGGUCUCCUAACUAGAUGCUCCUGCCCAGUCUUACCUUCUUCCCAUCCAGUCUCCACAACGGUGCCAGAAUGGUCAUUCUGAACAGCUCGACCCAGGUCACCAUAUGGGGACCCCAACCACAGAUGUCCACUUGGAGGGAGUCAUCUUGCCAGUCAUGAUGAAGAGGCCAUUUUCUAUUUUCAAGCAGACUAGAGUGAAAGAAAAAAUUCUCACAUCCGUCAACUCUGUUGCACUCUCCUGCCUGAACCAAGCUUUCGGUUACACUUUGGAGAGAAAUGGUUUUGUCAUAUU